GGCUCAGAUUGAACGCUGGCGGCAGGCUUAACACAUGCAAGUCGAGCGGAGCGAGGGUGCUUGCACCUUAGCUUAGCGGCGGACGGGUGAGUAAUGCUUAGGAAUCUGCCUAUUAGUGGGGGACAACAUUCCGAAAGGAAUGCUAAUACCGCAUACGCCCUACGGGGGAAAGCAGGGGAUCUUCGGACCUUGCGCUAAUAGAUGAGCCUAAGUCAGAUUAGCUAGUUGGUGGGGUAAAGGCCUACCAAGGCGACGAUCUGUAGCGGGUCUGAGAGGAUGAUCCGCCACACUGGGACUGAGACACGGCCCAGACUCCUACGGGAGGCAGCAGUGGGGAAUAUUGGACAAUGGGCGCAAGCCUGAUCCAGCCAUGCCGCGUGUGUGAAGAAGGCCUUUUGGUUGUAAAGCACUUUAAGCGAGGAGGAGGCUACUUGGAUUAAUACUCUGGGAUAGUGGACGUUACUCGCAGAAUAAGCACCGGCUAACUCUGUG
rnacentral:rRNA from 1 species